rnacentral:rRNA from 1 species
GACGAACGCUGGCGGCGUGCUUAACACAUGCAAGUCGAGCGGUAAGGCCCUUUCGGGGGUACACGAGCGGCGAACGGGUGAGUAACACGUGGGUGACCUGCCUUUAGCUCUGGGAUAAGCCUGGGAAACUGGGUCUAAUACCGGAUAUGACUCCAUGAUGCAUGUUGUGGGGUGGAAAGCCUUGUGCGGCUGGAGAUGGGCCCGCGGCCUAUCAGUUUGUUGGUGGGGUGANGGCCUACCAAGGCGACGACGGGUAGCCGGCCUGAGAGGGCGACCGGCCACACUGGGACUGAGACACGGCCCAGACUCCUACGGGAGGCAGCAGUGGGGAAUCUUGCGCAAUGGGCGAAAGCCUGACGCAGCGACGCCGCGUGAGGGA